GUGUCCAAAAACAAAUAAAAUAAAAAUGAAAAAGUUAGUGGAUUGUGAGGUCCACAUAUAUUUAUUGUUACUUAUCUCUUAAAAGAGAAAAUUUAUGAGAAAUCAAAUAAACACAAAACUCUCUAGAGCUUACGCCUUAUUCGUUCUGUUCUUUUACUCAAAACAUUGUUAAAAUCAAAAUAGUUUAUGUAGAUCAAGUCAAGAAAUUUCUUUUAAAAAAAAAUUGAUAUUCAAAAUUUGUUAGUGUUGUUGUUGAUUCAAAGAAAAACGAGGUGAGAUUUGAAGAUGAAGAGAAUAAAAAAAUAUAGAAGAAAAUUCCUUUCAAUCUAAUGCUAGAAAGGAUCAAGAAUUGGGUGAAAUCUCCAUGAAUUUUAUUUUACUUAUUUAAUCAUCCAUGAUUUCAGUACAAGUUUAGAGACAUCAUAUUCUCUGAUGAAGAGAUGGUAGAAUUCAAUUUGAAUGCUAUUCAUCAGGAUAGCUUUUAUCAAGGAAAUUUUGAGGGUGUAAAGAAUUCUGUGAUGAAUAAUGCAUACACUUAAUUUAAAAUGAAAAUUGAAAAGAUGCAGGCUGAUUCGUUACUCUUUCAGAAAAAGAUACUUGCGAAUAUGACUUCUUUUCAAAAAAAGGUUGAUGAUCGAUUUGAGGAUAUCAAGAAAUUUGUGGCUGAAUCUGUCAAUGUGAUGCUGGAUGAGAUUCGUUCUUCAAAAAAAGAAUCAAACGAUUUAUUUGAAAAACGCAUUUUUUUAUUUAUUUAAUUAAUUAAAUCUACAUUAUAUAAUUAUUUGUUAGUAAGGUUUCAUCUUUGAUCAUAUGUAUUUAUUUAUUUCAUUUUAUAUUAAAUUUUAUUGUUAUAAUGUUUGUGAACAUUUUGAAUAGAAAUCUUCUCCUACCAAUGAAAAGGUUGUAUUUGAUACACCGAUGUCAAGCAAA